rnacentral:tRNA from 1 species
AUCUUUCUAAUAUUAAUGGAGUAUAUGUGACUUCCAAUCACCUAGUCUUGGUUCAAACCCAAGGAAAGAUA